rnacentral:rRNA from 1 species
AUUGAACGCUAGCGGGAUGCUUUACACAUGCAAGUCGAGCGAGUGGCGGACGGGUGAGUAAUAUAUCGGAACGUGCCCUGUCGCGGGGGAUAACUACUAGAAAGAGGAGCUAAUACCGCAUACUAUUGACAAGGCCGAUAUCGGAUUAGCUAGGUGGUGGGGGAAUGGCUCACCAAGGCAACGAUCCCGAGCUGGUUUGAGCGUAUGACCAGCCACCCUGGGACUGAGACACGGCCCAGACUCCUACGGGAGGCAGCAGUGGGGAAUUUUGGACAAUGGGGGAAACCCUGAUCCAGCCAUCCCGCGUGUAUGAGAAGGCCUUCGGGUUGUAAAGUACUUUUGGCAGAGAAGCGGUACCUGCAGAAUAAGCACCGGCUAACUACGUGCCAGCAGCCGCGGUAAUUC